AAAGGGAAAUAAGGUGAAUCCGGUGGAUACGUCGCACCUUCCACUCCUCCGCCCGGACCGCCACCGGGACCGCCGCCCGCGGCACCAAAGGGACUCCCACCGUACGUCUGCGUCGCAGAAAGUAAACACGAGACUAGGUGGGCGUGGACGAUAAGGAGUAGUUCGAAAGCUCUGAAAAUGACGCCGCGGUCAACUAGCACCACCGUCGCCACCACCAAACGAUAACACAAUCCUUUGACGACUCCGGUGUAGCCGACGUCCCGUACGAAACGUGGGUACAGCCGGUCUCAUUCGUUUGCGGUCUGAGGGGCCCGUGUAUUUAAUAUUUACACGCCUCGCGAAACACAUCAGAAGCAACGGUUAAACUUCUAGCCUGUCAUCCGCUGUACGCUGUAAGUACUUAGAUCGAGUCAGUCGUCUCGCCGUUCUGCGAAUCGGUUCCAGAAAUUCUCAAAGGACUUCAAAGACGGGGAGGAAAAAAAGGACGAGAGACAAUCGAAAUUACGUGUGUGUACAAUGAAGGACCGUGUAUCUAUCGCCCCGCGUGUGUGACGUGCGGGUUAAUAUUCCUUGGUUUCUUUCAUCGAGAUGCGGUGGAGAUGGACGGGAAAAAUCAGAGGAAGAGACGGAAGUGGGCAUCGGAAAGAGAGGGAGAGGGAACGUCGAGGGGGAACGGCGUAGGAGACGACGACGAACCCUCGGGACGUCUUUAAACUUGAUCCGGAGCGUCGUGUACGGGAGCCGCAAAGACCGGAUGGGAUCGAGGAGGAAGAUCCGAGGAACUGUAACGACUCGUGUACGCAUACUAUAGGCUGUACGUGAAAAAAGGAACCGACGAAGAAUUUCCCACAAAUUUUCAUCGUACCGUUCGCGCUUGCCCGAAAUACUGCGGGGGACGCGGCGGGUAAAUUUUUUUUUCCAUCCCACGCGAUUACAGCGAAUAAUUUCUUUCGAAUAUACUUCGUCAUCCCCCAAAGAUUCCGAAGCGAAUGAAAUCACGUUUGCGGAGAUUCGUCUCAACGUCGUGUACGGGGAGGUGGGAAACCACGUGUUCGAAUCGGCGAUGUGCGAUACGAGUGCGUCGCGGUUAUGAAAGGUAACUAUAUAACAACGGGAAAAAAAAAAGUAAAUCGAAAACUAUUUUUCCUCCAAAUAA